CAGGCUUCGGACCUGUACAUACCGUAUUUACUCGCAUAAUCCUCGCACUUUUUUUUCCAGAAAACCGAUGGAAAGUUGGGGGGUGCGAGAAUUACGCGGGGAAAAUUUUCCGCGAAAACG
rnacentral:lncRNA from 1 species